GAUGAACGCUGGCGGCGUGCCUAAUACAUGCAAGUAGAACGCUGAAGGAGGAGCUUGCUCUUCUGGAUGAGUUGCGAACGGGUGAGUAACGCGUAGGUAACCUGCCUGGUAGCGGGGGAUAACUAUUGGAAACGAUAGCUAAUACCGCAUGACAACAGUUAUUGCAUGAUAACUGUUUAAAAGGGGCAACUGCUCCACUACCAGAUGGACCUGCGUUGUAUUAGCUAGUUGGUGAGGUAACGGCUCACCAAGGCGACGAUACAUAGCCGACCUGAGAGGGUGAUCGGCCACACUGGGACUGAGACACGGCCCAGACUCCUACGGGAGGCAGCAGUAGGGAAUCUUCGGCAAUGGACGGAAGUCUGACCGAGCAACGCCGCGUGAGUGAAGAAGGUUUUCGGAUCGUAAAGCUCUGUUGUAAGAGAAGGACGAGUGUGAGAGUGGAAAGUUCACACUGUGACGGUAUCUUACCAGAAAGGGACGGCUAACUACGUG
rnacentral:rRNA from 1 species